GAUGAAGAACGCAGCGAAAUGCGAUAAGUAAUGUGAAUUGCAGAAUUCAGUGAACCAUCGAAUCUUUGAACGCACAUUGCGCCCGGCAGUAAUCUGCCGGGCAUGCCUGUCCGAGCGUCAUUUCUGCCCUCGAGCGAGUCCAGCAUCUAGGUGCUGGGCCCGCCCGGCGUUGGGGCACUACGGGAAGCCCUGUGCUGUCCCCCGUAGGCCCCGAAAUGAAGUGGCGGUCCUGCCGCGGCGCCCCAUGCGUAGUAUAACAGCUCGCUUCGGGACCCGGUGGAGGCCUGCCGUCAAACCUUACUCUCUAAGUUUGACCUCGGAUCAGGUAGGGUUACCCGCUGAACUUAAGCAUAUCAAUAAGCGGAGGA
rnacentral:misc_RNA from 1 species